GGGCUCCCGGUUCCCCAACUCUGGGGCGUGGACACUCCUGGAGGGAGGCUCAGCCCGGGCCGCUGGGGUUGGGCCCAAGGCGCCCUCCCACAGAGACAGCGUCUGGCAGCACUGCCCAGGCCGGCCUUGAACUUGCCAUCCUCCUGCCUCGGCCUCCCAGUGCCCUGGGAUCACAGGUGUGCGCCCCCACGGCUGGCUUCCACUCUCAGCCUCCGAAUCCCAGACCUUCCCAACCCUCUCCUGGGAGGCCCUGCCGUCGUCCUUGAGUGCGGAGUGAUGCGAUGUCUCUGGCGGCCCAGCCUAUGCAGAACCAGCCCAGCUGAUGUAAGGCGCAAGGCAGAGAGGCCGACGGCUCUGGAGCGGGAUGCGCCCGUCAGAGCAGAGCCAGGUGAGGUGAGACACACCUGUCAACCCAGAACUCAGGAGGCCAAGGCAGGAGGAUCUCGGAGAGUUCAAGGCCAGACCCUGUCUCAAAAAAAUGUAUAAAUGAAUAAAAAUAAAAGGGGG
rnacentral:lncRNA from 1 species